AGUUUUCAUCCUUUUCAGGGUUCAGACAUUUCCAGGGAGGAGGCACCUGCUUUUUGCCACAAUGCAAAAUAAUUCCACCCAUUUCUCCUCUGCCACAGCAGAGACUCUGUUUAUUGGCCCUGGAGGCUGACAAGGAACUGACACCUGUGCCCAAACCUUGGCAGAAAAAGGCACGUUCAUUGUGCAGCAGAGUUGUAGAUCCAUGUGUCCUCAAGGCAGCAGAGAGGAGCACACUUUACCCUUGCAAAGAGAAACAGGUUAAGUAGCAAAAUGACUGGGGCACUGGAUUUACUAACACAGCUGAUCUUCAUGGA
rnacentral:lncRNA from 1 species